rnacentral:rRNA from 1 species
CUCAACCUGGGAACGGCAUCCGGAACUGUCAGGCUAGAGUGCAGGAGAGGAAGGUAGAAUUCCCGGUGUAGCGGUGAAAUGCGUAGAGAUCGGGAGGAAUACCAGUGGCGAAGGCGGCCUUCUGGACUGACACUGACGCUGAGGUGCGAAAGCGUGGGUAGCAAACAGGAUUAGAUACCCUGGUAGUCCACGCCGUAAACGAUGUCGACUAGCCGUUGGGGUCCUCGAGACCUUUGUGGCGCAGUUAACGCGAUGAGUCGACCGCCUGGGGAGUACGGCCGCAAGGUUAAAACUCAAAUGAAUUGACGGGGGCCCGCACAAGCGGUGGAGCAUGUGGUUUAAUUCGAUGCAACGCGAAGAACCUUACCUACCCUUGACAUCGUGCGAACCAUCCAGAGAUGGAUGGGUGCCUUCGGGAGCGC